rnacentral:lncRNA from 1 species
GGAGAAAUGUUUUCUGGAAACAGAAAAGGCCAUUGAAGGGUUCAAAGACAGCAGACACACUUCACCACACUGGAAGCUCCCACAUAUAGAAAGCAAGGUGAUGACUCAGUCGGUCGAGUGCUUACCACACAAACAUGAAAACCUGGGUCUGGAUUCCCAAAACCUGUGCAAAGGGUCUCUGUGAAAGUGAAAUUAAAGGCACCAGGCAAAGGGCUGUUGUUCUCCGGAUGACCUUGAGGGCUAAGAUGCUCAUUCUGGAAACCCGGGAAGUGCCAGUAUUUCUGUUUUUCGAUAGCACACUGUUUUAUAAGGUAAACCCCUGGACACUUAGCACCUGUUAGUGGAAGAAACUGUUAAGUGCUUUCGGGCAAGGAAUAAAACGUGUUUCUGUCCUCAAGGAUCUGAUAGUCACAUAUAAAAUAGAAUGAGAUCAUGUGACUGCUAAACACCCACUAGACCUGGAGAGCAAAGGCUAAUGAUAUCCCCUGGAAACUUCCUAUGUCUGGCAUGCGUCCUGGAACAUUUUAUAAGCCAACUCAUCUGGACCUCACAUGGCCGCCGCCCUUCAGAAGGCAAAGCUGAGAGCUUCCGUGAGCAUCCUGCACCCUCAGCUCAGAGCUAGGCUAGCAGUGAGCAAGAACAUAGACCGGUUUUUGCUACAAAGCAUUGACUCCUCAUCAGGUAACCAAAUGCGGGGUGCAAUCCAGUGUCUGACUCCUCUACUCUCGGGCUACCUGUAUAGCUCUGCACAUGGAUAUGUCAAUCACUUAAGGACUGUCUGUCUAGCCUCACUUCACCCCCCUUCCAGUCUGAAAACAGGGGUCAGUUAUUAUCCUAAACGUUCAGUCACCUUGAACCUCUCAGGACAGACUGCUCCUUACAACUUCCCAGAGAACAACCAUCAAGUAGAGCAAGCCUGCAUCCUGAAAUAAACAUCUCCUAAGAGCCAGACUGAUCCCCCUACGUGAUGAUAAAUAUCAGGACUCCUUUCAACCAUUCUGAAGAACCUGAACUGGAACAGUGGCCAGGCAGACAAUGCAUGACGGUGACCAUACACACCUCUUGCCCCUUCCCCCAAUUCUUCUUCUAAGUUUAAACCUCAAGAACCUUCAUGAGAGACUUGGGGCAACGCUGAACUUCUAGAUGCGUUCCUCUUCCCACAGUGACCACAGCAAUAGAUCUCCUAACCUGGCUUCUUCCAUUACACAUCUCUUUCACUGGCAUAGUAUAGCGAGUGGCCCACUCUAGCCUCUUGGGUUUGCACAUCCAUGCACUGCCACAGAGCCCAUGCCCAUCCACACUGUCUCCGUUAGGGUUUCCAUUGUUGUGAUUGACACCAGGACCAAGGGAACUCUUAUAAAGGACAGCGUUUAAUUGGGGCUGGCUUACAGGUUCAGUCCAGUAUCAUCAAGGCAGGAACAUGACAGCAUCCAGGCAGGCAUGGUGCAGGAGGAACUGAGAGUUCUACAUCUUCAUCUGAAGGCUGCUUGGGGAAGACUAGAAGCUAGAAGAAGUGUCUCAGAGCCCACCCCUACAGUGACACUUUCUCAAACAAGGCCACACUUACUCCAAUAAGGCCAUGACUCCUAAUAAUAUCACUCAAACAAUGACACACAGUGACUUUAGCAAAAAAAAAAAAAAUGUCCAAGGCGGAACCCAUGCAUUUCAAACUUUGUCAUUUACUGGGAACAUAAGACUCGAGUUAGAGAAAUGGCUCAGCAGUUACUAGUCUUCAUUGCCUUUAUAGAAAGCCUGGAUUCAGCUGCCAGCACCCACAUUGAGUGGCUUAUAGCCACUUGUAAUUUCAAUGCUGACAUCAUCUUCUGACCUCUCUGGGCACCAGCACACAUGGAGUGUUUAUACAUACAUGCAGGCACUCACACAUAC